AUUGAACGCUGGCGGCAUGCUUUACACAUGCAAGUCGAACGGUAACAGGGUGCUUGCACCGCUGACGAGUGGCGAACGGGUGAGUAAUGCGUCGGAACGUGCCGAGUAGUGGGGGAUAACGCAUCGAAAGGUGUGCUAAUACCGCAUACGUACUGAGGUAGAAAGUGGGGGACCUUCGGGCCUCACGCUAUUCGAGCGGCCGACGCCUGAUUAGCUAGUUGGUGAGGUAAAGGCUCACCAAGGCGACGAUCAGUAGCGGGUCUGAGAGGAUGAUCCGCCACACUGGGACUGGGACACGGCCCAGACUCCUACGGGAGGCAGCAGUGGGGAAUUUUGGACAAUGGGCGCAAGCCUGAUCCAGCCAUGCCGCGUGUCUGAAGAAGGCCUUCGGGUUGUAAAGGACUUUUGUCCGGGAGCAAAUGCCUGGUGUUAAUAGCACUGGGAGCUGAGAGUACCGGAAGAAUAAGCACCGGCUAACUACGUGCCAGCCGCCGCGGUAACAC
rnacentral:rRNA from 1 species